UACGGGGGGAGCAAGCGUUGUUCGGAUUUACUGGGCGUAAAGGGCGCGUAGGCGGCCAGCGCAAGUCAGUUGUGAAAUCUCCGGGCUUAACUCGGAACGGUCAACUGAUACUGCGCGGCUAGAGUGCGGAAGGGGCAACUGGAAUUCUCGGUGUAGCGGUGAAAUGCGUAGAUAUCAGGAGGAACACCGGUGGCGAAGGCGGAUCUCUGGGCCUGUCCUGACGCUGAGGCGCGAAAGCUAGGGGAGCGAACAGG
rnacentral:rRNA from 1 species